CGGGGGGGGAGCUGGGCCGGCAGCGCCGCGCGGGUGCGCGCCUCCGCCGAGCAUUACGGCGCCCGUUCCCGGCUCCCAGCGCCGAGCGAGCCAUGGCCGAGCGCCGCGCCUUCGCGCAGAAGAUCAGCAGAACCGUGGCGGCUGAAGUCAGGAAGCAGAUCUCAGGGCAGUAUGGAGGGUCUCCCCAGCUUCUCAAAAACCUCAAUAUUGGAGGCAGCGUCUCUCAUCACACAACUGUAAGUAGUGCUUGGAACGUGGAAGAGGGGAGGAGGUGUGCCUGGUUAUUCUGACCGUUGUUUGGAAAGAAAUUGCAGUGCCUGUUCACUCACGUAGGAGUUGGGCUCCUGUGGUGGUCAUUAUGGGUCCUUUCCAACUUGAGGUACUGUGUGAUUCUGCAAUACUGACAUGUUGUUGCCUUAACACUGACAACACUAAGGUAAAUAAUUCUGUGUAAAAAGUGCUGAUUUUGGAGGUGUCUGUCCUGCACAUCAGUUGGUGUGGCUGGGAGUUUGUGUUCCUGCAGAAGCUCUGUAGGACACUGGGGCUCCCUUGACCAGCUCUUAUUUGCUUUAUCCCAGAGCAGCUUGGAUGGGACAUUGAACUCCACGUGUGUGUCUGGGUCUCUGCAAAGAGCUCUUUGCAUGCUCAUGUUAUUUAGGUAUGGCAUUUUUGUCUUCUUUGACAUUCUUAAGAGUAGGACCGCAGUUACAAAGCUCAUCUGGUCUUCAGAUGUAUUUUAAGUAUUACAGUGAAAGUUUGAAUGUAACUAUCCCUCAGGAACGUGUAUUUAUUUAUGUGUUUACUGUUCACCUCUAAGAGUGGUUGAAAUAUAGGUCAGGUUUUCAGGAACACCCUCUCUGAAAUGAGAUUUUCCCUGUGCAUCAGCUGUGUAAGUACUGGGAGAGCAGAAGGCUGGUUUGGUCAGCUGUGUGCAUGGCCUUAAUGCUGAGUGAGCACAAAGGAGGGAGGGCUGAUGAGAGCGGCGUCUCCAGGGACAAUAACUUACUGUAGUGAUGUCUGUAGAGGUGUGGGAUGAUAAUGCACAGCCUUGAUGUGGUGGUUCUGUACCAUCUUUAGCAUCACCCAGUCUGUUAUUAGUGGCACAGACUGGAUGGAGCACCAGGGGUCAUGCCCCCACUUCCCUGCAGUGGUGGAUAGCUGAGCAUUGAUGUCUGCUUUUGAAGGACCCAUUGGAUGUCCAUCCCUCAACUUUCUGUGCCUUGCUUGUCUCACGUGAUUUCACUGGGGAGCAAGUUGGGUGAAUUGCCUUUGUGCUCUCCAUUGCUUUCAUAAAGUAAGAUCUCUUCUGUGUACCUUGCCAAGCUGUUCUUCAGCCAGACAUGUAUUUGGUAACUAUUUUUCAUUGGUUGUAUCAUCUGUUGUCCAUACGAAUCAUCUCUUCCACUUUCUGUUUCUACAUCUAAGGGUUUUUUGGUCUGCUGUCAUAAAGAGGAGCUACAGGAAAGAAGGGGACAGACUCUUUAGCAGGCUCUGUUGUGACAGAACAAGGGGAAAUGGUUUGGAGCUUGAAGGGGGUGGAUUUAGGUUAGAUAUAAGGAAAAUGUCUUCUACGGUGAGGGUAGUGAGGCACUGGAACAGGCUGCUCAGUGGUGUGGUGGAUGCCCUGUCUCUGGGUACUUUCAGGGUGAGGCUGGAUCAGGCCCUGGGCAGCCUGACCUAUCUGUGCUGUCCCUGUGCAUUGCAGGGCAGUUGGACUGGAUGACCUUCAGAGGUCCCUUCCAGCUCUAAGGGUUCUAUGAUGCUAAGUGUACGUGCUCGAAGCUUCAGUCCUGUCGACCUGCACAUGCAGUUCGUAACACAGGAUCAGAUUUGUUGGGCACAGUAUUGUCAGCUCUGUCUUUACUUCGUGUGUGUCUCAUUAUCCUGUUGCUGGUGUGGUUUUUUUUUGGUAGAUCUAUGUGAGCAUCUCUAAAAUCCUGGAUAAGGUCAUGCUGACUGGAAGCAGGCUCUGAGCCUUUCCCAUCAAAAUGCGUUGCUUGAUGUGAUGAGCUGCUAGUUUGUCAUCCUGAAUUCUGUGCUGAGCAGAGAUGCUUUCAGAAGAAUGAUUAACUUGGAGUGAUGUUUUAUAGGAGAUAGUCUGUGUGCUUAAGCAAGUCAUGGGUCUGUCCUGAGGCUGCGUCAUAUGGCAGAGGUUUGCUUGAGAGGAAUUUUGGGUUAGUUUUUCUCCCUUAAGCGUCUCUCAGAAUCUGCUGUUCCUGUCUGUUCUGUUUGGUAACAGAGGGGAAACAUGACUUCUUUCAGUUGGAAUAGCUGUUUGCUAUGGGGAAGUUCAAAAGUUUACCUGUCAUAAUACCAUUAUGGUGCAGAAAUAGAAGGUCCUGAAUCUGCCUGGCAGUGCUGUGUAGCUGUGCUGGUGUGAAAGCCUGGAGUGGGAUUACUGGCGUGGGUUUACAUAUUUUACUAAUUCUCUGAUUAAGUCUCAUCUCUCCACAAUGGCAGUAAGUUGUACUGCUGAGAGUGCAGCAUGGACCUGGAGGACUGCAUAGGACAAAGCGCUCUCCUAUGCAGCGUAUCUCACUCCUCACACUGUGUACUUACACAGCUAGUUAGGAUCCAGAGGAAGACACAGCGCUGAUCCUCUGUCUGCUGCCAACAACAGCUGCUUCUGGGAGCUCCUCUGUGAGUCUCAUGAUAUCUGGUCUGAUGUAGACAUCUUUUAGCAGGAAUGUAUGCUUUUGUGAAAGAGAAGCCUCAGUGCUGAGCCUUUGCUUCUCAGUGGCUGAAGCUGGGGUAGGAACUUCUUGCGCUUGGGUUCAACCACAUGCAAAUGUGCCAAGAGAAGUGCAAAAGCUGUCAGCUGAAUGUUAGCAAGUCUCUUCCCUUCUGCUUCACGAACAACAGCCAAAAUGCUGCCAGAACUGUUUCUAAUUUUAUAUCUGGUGGUGCUGGGGAGGGAGAAGGCACUGCUUUCAACUGGCUGUACAAGUGUUUGUGGUUUAUUAUUGUCAACUUCCGCCCUUCUGCCACUUCAGGAGCAGCUGAUUUUAAUGGUGUGUUCCUCAAACCACAACUGCAGGCCCAAAGCCAUCAGAGACCUUUCCUGUGUACCCUGUUGUGCUGGAUGGCUCUCCUCACACGGUGUGGCCCUCGCAGCACGGAGCUUUUAUUUUUGAAAUCCAGAACAGAAGGCACUGAUGGUUUGUUGCUGAGGAAAAGGAGCCUGUAAGGUCCUAGUGAGGUGAAGGAGCUUUUAUUUUUUGAAGCUACAUUUGCGUGUCUCUCUAAUCCACUGGUAAAUAGAGUGUGCGUUUGCACCUUGCCUUUGGGUUUGGGGCUGUACACCACGGGCUGUGCCCUCAUCUUGGUGCAUCAAGAGGUUUGGUGCUCCCUGGUGGGAACCUGCACUUCUGCUCCCC
rnacentral:lncRNA from 1 species